GUGGGGAAUCUUGCGCAAUGGGCGAAAGCCUGACGCAGCCAUGCCGCGUGAAUGAUGAAGGUCUUAGGAUUGUAAAAUUCUUUCACCGGGGACGAUAAUGACGGUACCCGGAGAAGAAGCUCCGGCUAACUUCGUGCCAGCAGCCGCGGUAAUACGAAGGGGGCUAGCGUUGCUCGGAAUUACUGGGCGUAAAGGGCGCGUAGGUGGACAGCUUAGUCAGAGGUGAAAGCCCAGGGCUCAACCUUGGAAUUGCCUUUGAUACUGGCUGUCUUGAGUUUGGGAGAGGUGAGUGGAACUCCGAGUGUAGAGGUGAAAUUCGUAGAUAUUCGGAAGAACACCAGUGGCGAAGGCGACUCACUGGCCCAAUACUGACGCUGAGGCGCGAAAGCGUGGGGAGCAAACAGGAUUAGAAACCCCAGUAGUCC
rnacentral:rRNA from 1 species